rnacentral:rRNA from 1 species
AACGUAGGAGGCGAGCGUUAUUCGGAUUUACUGGGCGUAAAGCGCGUGCAGGCGGCUCUGUAAGUCAGGCGUGAAAUCUCCCGGCUUAACCGGGAGGCUGCGUCUGAUACUACAGGGCUAGAGGUCGGGAGAGGGAAGUGGAAUUCCCGGUGUAGCGGUGGAAUGCAUAGAUAUCGGGAGGAACACCAGUGGCGAAGGCGGCUUCCUGGCCCGCACCUGACGCUCAGACGCGAAAGCGUGGGGAGCGAACGUG